GACGAACGCUGGCGGCGCGCCUAACACAUGCAAGUCGAACGAGAGAUGAGGAGCUUGCUCUUCAAAUCGAGUGGCGAACGGGUGAGUAACGCGUGAGGAACCUGCCUCAAAGAGGGGGACAACAGUUGGAAACGACUGCUAAUACCGCAUAAGCCCACGGCUCGGCAUCGAGCAGAGGGAAAAGGAGCAAUCCGCUUUGAGAUGGCCUCGCGUCCGAUUAGCUAGUUGGUGAGGUAACGGCCCACCAAGGCGACGAUCGGUAGCCGGACUGAGAGGUUGAACGGCCACAUUGGGACUGAGACACGGCCCAGACUCCUACGGGAGGCAGCAGUGGGGAAUAUUGCACAAUGGGGGAAACCCUGAUGCAGCGACGCCGCGUGGAGGAAGAAGGUCUUCGGAUUGUAAACUCCUGUUGUUGAGGAAGAUAAUGACGGUACUCAACAAGGAAGUGACGGCUAACUACGUGCCAGCAGCCGCGGUAAAACGUAGGUCACAAGCGUUGUCCGGAAUUACUGGGUGUAAAGGGAGCGCAGGCGGGAGAACAAGUUGGAAGUGAAAUCCAUGGGCUCAACCCAUGAACUGCUUUCAAAACUGUUUUUCUUGAGUAGUGCAGAGGUAGGCGGAAUUCCCGGUGUAGCGGUGGAAUGCGUAGAUAUCGGGAGGAACACCAGUGGCGAAGGCGGCCUACUGGGCACCAACUGACGCUGAGGCUCGAAAGUGUGGGUAGCAAACAGGAUUAGAUACCCUGGUAGUCCACACCGUAAACGAUGAUUACUAGGUGUUGGAGGAUUGACCCCUUCAGUGCCGCAGUUAACACAAUAAGUAAUCCACCUGGGGAGUACGACCGCAAGGUUGAAACUCAAAGGAAUUGACGGGGGCCCGCACAAGCAGUGGAGUAUGUGGUUUAAUUCGACGCAACGCGAAGAACCUUACCAAGUCUUGACAUCCUGCGACGCACAUAGAAAUAUGUGUUUCCUUCGGGACGCAGAGACAGGUGGUGCAUGGUUGUCGUCAGCUCGUGUCGUGAGAUGUUGGGUUAAGUCCCGCAACGAGCGCAACCCUUAUGGUCAGUUACUACGCAAGAGGACUCUGGCCAGACUGCCGUUGACGAAACGGAGGAAGGUGGGGAUGACGUCAAAUCAUCAUGCCCUUUAUGACUUGGGCUACACACGUACUACAAUGGCGUUAAACAAAGAGAAGCAAGACCGCGAGGUGGAGCAAAACUCAGAAACAACGUCCCAGUUCGGACUGCAGGCUGCAACUCGCCUGCACGAAGUCGGAAUUGCUAGUAAUCGUGGAUCAGCAUGCCACGGUGAAUACGUUCCCGGGCCU
rnacentral:rRNA from 1 species